rnacentral:rRNA from 1 species
UACAGAGGGUGCAAGCGUUAAUCGGAAUUACUGGGCGUAAAGGGUGCGUAGGUGGUUAAUUAAGUCAGAUGUGAAAUCCCCAGGCUUAACCUGGGAAUUGCGUUUGAAACUGAAUAACUAGAGUAUGGUAGAGGGAAGUGGAAUUUCCGGUGUAGCGGUGAAAUGCGUAGAUAUCGGGAGGAACACCGGUGGCGAAGGCGGUUCUCUGGGCCUUACCUGACGCUGAGGAGCGAAAGCGUGGGGAGCGAACAGG